AUCUUUCUGACAUGCAAUCCAACCGGGCCAGACUGCAGGCAGCUCCUCCUCACAUUAUUUAACACUGAGGAGUGCAGGAGAGUAACAUAGGCAGCUCUCUGCUGGCUAGAAGCCAAUGCACCAGAAGAUGCAGUGAAUGCUCAGUUGCAGCUGUUGUGUCUUGGAUCCACCACAGUUGGCUGAAACCGGCAGCUCAGGACAAGUGAACCAGCCAGCAGGACCCAGACCAUUUGACUCGGCUGAUCUUGUGACAAGACUGAGUUGCUGCUGAGUACAACAGCCCUGCUCUG
rnacentral:lncRNA from 1 species